rnacentral:rRNA from 1 species
CAAGGUUGACCUCGGAUCAGGUAGGACUACCCGCUGAACUUAAGCAUAUCAAUAAGCGGAGGAAAAGAAACCAACAGGGAUUGCCCCAGUAACGGCGAGUGAAGCGGCAACAGCUCAAAUUUGAAAUCUGGCCUUCGGGUCCGAGUUGUAAUUUGGAGAGGAUGCUUCUGGCGCGGCGCCGUCCGAGUUCCUUGGAACAGGACGCCAUAGAGGGUGAGAGCCCCGUACGGGCGGACGCCUAGCCUUUGUGAAGCUCCUUCGACGAGUCGAGUAGUUUGGGAAUGCUGCUCAAAAUGGGAGGUAAAUUUCUUCUAAAGCUAAAUACCGGCCAGAGACCGAUAGCGCACAAGUAGAGUGAUCGAAAGAUGAAAAGCACUUUGAAAAGAGGGUUAAAAAGUACGUGAAAUUGUUGAAAGGGAAGCGCCUGUGACCAGACUUGCUGCCCGCGGAUCAUCCGGCGUUCUUCGCCGGUGCACUCCGCGGGCGGCAGGCCAGCAUCGGUUUUCCUGGGGGGUCAAAGGUCGCGGGAACGUGGCUCCUUCGGGAGUGUUAUAGCCCGCGGCGUCAUGCCUCUGGGGGGACCGAGGACCGCGCUU